GGGGUCGACAUUGGAUUUGACAGCAAAUGCGAUUUUGGUGGGUAAGCAUGUCGAGCGUUGCGAUGAAGCUCGUAAAUAUCUUGUUGCAAACUAUAAUUGACAAUACGUCAUACGCACUUGCGGCUUAAUUUGCUGAAUGUAAAUUAGCUUAAUCCGCUGAAGAUAUAGUAAGCGGACAAGUUUCUCUCCCAUGGGCUCUGAUUUUCGGCCCCGGAACCGAGGGAAUCAACUUAGAAAAUCUGGCACCAACUUCGCCUCGCGGGCGGUGUGAGAUCAAAGAGGAUAAGCGGGAUUCUUGGGUGUUUUUGUCCGAUUUUCCGUCGAAAACCAAUCAAAAACUAAGCAUGUAGAAGACAUUGGGAUUCUUUGUUUGGACGAGGGUUCGAACCCCUCCGACUCCACCU
rnacentral:tmRNA from 3 species